AUGACGAAUAUGGUUCACAUCGAUGAGAAGUGGUUUGACAUGACGAGAGUGAAGAAUAGUUACUAUGUACUUCCAGGAGAACCUGAACCGAAGCGCACUGUGUCAAACACUCACAGCAUUGGGAAGGUGAUGUUCCUAACAGCUGUUGCCAAGCCUCGAUAUAACAAUGAGGGGGAGCUAACAUUCGAUGGGAAGACCGGCAUUUGGGCAUUUGUCGAAGAGACUGAGGCGAAGUGGACAAGUCAAAACAGAACAAAGGGAACAAAAGUGUUGACAUCAGUGGAAGUAACCAGGCCUGUGUGCAGAGAUUAUUUAAUCAAUAAGGUUAUCCCGGCAAUUCAGGAUAAGUGGCCUGACGAUGAUGAGGGAGCAACAAUAUUCAUCCAACAGGAUAACACAAAGCCUCAUGUCCUUCCCAAUGAUGUAGCUUUUCGAGAAGCUGUGGAACAAACUGAUCUUGACAUCUGA
rnacentral:rRNA from 1 species